GGCGGUUUGGGAUCAUCUGCAUGCUUUAUGAUUGAACGCAUCGACCAGAUCUGUCUGGAAAAAGGAGAGAAAACAUCUCUCCCCCAGGACACUUGCUUCUGGAGAGGUGAGUUACCAUCUAUCUUCUGAGGCCACCAUAGUUGAAGGAAACCCAAACUACCCCAUGCAGAGUAAUACUGAGAGUAAAUGAACAGAAAUGUCUAGCCAGCCCCAGCUAUUCCAGCUCCAACCACUGUGACCGCAGCGACAUGACAGACGAGCAAGAAUCACCCAGCCAAGUCCUUCCUGGACUCCUGACCCAGAAACCACAAAAGAUAAGCCAUUAAGUUUUGGGGUGAUGUGUUAUACAGCACUAGAUAGCAGAUACCAAAUUGCUUAUCUUUUCUCUUUCUCCUUUUAAAAUAUUCUCACACAUAGUCUUUCUUAAAAUCAAGUUUUGGACUUGUUCAAAUAAUUUUUAUUACAGAUGUACUUAGAUAUGGAUUAUAGGGGUUAAGAAUGCUGACCCUGGAGUCUGUCUGCUGGAUUGGAUCCUAGCUAUCAUUUGUUAACCACAUGAUCUGAGGAAACUUAACUAAAUACGGUAACAUGUGAUUACUUCUCCUCUUAACUCCAUUUCAUCAGACAUCUGUUGUGUAGCAGCCAUAUAGUUUGUGUGGGACUAAAUCUUCAACCCCAUGGGAGGCAGUGGUCAGUUUAUGGAGCCAAUCAUGAUAAUCCCAUCCCCACUGGCACGUGAUUACCUGAAGCCUAAACCAAUCAGUUGGGACUUCUCUUGGCCACCAAGACAGGUUUGAAUCGACUCAAUCUCAGCGAAACCAGAAAGAGCUGUGGAAGGGACUCUUUCUCCCUACAUGUAAAGGAGGAAAUUGGGAUCCUGGCAGCUGAGGCUAGCCAUCUUGUGAUCCCGACAGAAGCCACCUAGAAAAUGAAGUGGACAAGUAGGAGGGGUUGAACCAAAGUAAUUACACAGCAACUGAGCCAGAACUCUAGCCAAAAUGUACCUUAAGCUCGUGUUUCCUCCGGACUUCUCAAUUCCUGUAGUCCCCAGGAAUGGACUCCAUCAAGGUGCAUCAGGAUGAUGUCUGAAUUCUCUGCCUGUUUCCUAGGUGGCAGCCAUGCCUGUUAAGAUUAUGGGUUGCCAUAAAAUAAACUACACAGGAUGUAAUGGAUUAAAACCACAGAAGGUUAAUCUUAGAGAUGCAGGAAAAGAAGUGUGUGGAGGUGAAAGCUGUCUAUGCCUGUUCGCUCAGCAAGCCAGCUGUAAGGCGAGAAUCUGAGUGAGUGCUGGGAGUGAGCACUUGGCAUUAAACCAGCUCUCCACGGGCCUCGCCCAGAAAACACAGCUGCAUGAGGGUGAUGUGCGAACGCAAGCCCUACUGGACACAUCCCUUAAGUGUUAACACAUGCGACGUGAGAUACAAAACUCGAGCUUCCAAACAAUAGACCCAAGAAUCAGGAGUUUCCCAGGGUCAUCGCUAAGAACGCAAGAGAGUGGUGUUUGCAUCUUAAGGCCCUUUUUCUUCUGGUGCGCAUUGUACUUUCUGUCAUAUCAGCCAGUAACUUAAAAAUUAAAAGACAUCCCACUGCCAGACCCUCUACUCCCAAAUAUGAAAGUACCAUUCACAGUCACCAGUUAGCGCACACACAGGUUCAAACAUUAAAGAAUGAUCUCAAGUGUGGUGCUUGUGUCUCCAGCCUCAUCUCUCCAGAUGCCCCUCGUAUUCAUCCACACACACAUCUCCCAUUCCCUCUCUCCAUCCUCCCCCUUUUCCUACCCUCCAUGGGUCAGUCAUAAUAAACAUUUUCUCAGUUAUUUAACCCCCACUUCAGCUACUCUACAUUCCCCCACCACCUUUGUCACAAGGAACCUCCCUUAAACCCCAAGUCUGAGUUAGGUACAAGCCCCAUCACAUUUAGUCUCUCUCUCUCUCUGCUUUCAUGUCUAUUUUUGUGUGUACUUUCUAGACUAUAAGUUCCAUGAAAGGAAAGAAAUUGGUCUUCCAUGCAUGUACUGAACAAAUAAAUAUUAAGUACUCUCUCUGUGAAAGGCUCAAUUCUAAGUAAGAUAUAGCCUAGCUCCCUGCCUAGAAUAAUAUAGGAAUCUUCCAAAAUUUGGCUGACUACAUGGAUGGAUAGAUGCAUAGGUACAGCAACUAGAAAUGUGUCAGUUAGGAAUGUGCUACUGCGGUGAAAAUAAAAACCUAAACAGGAGCUUCUCAUAAGAAGGCACAGGUCAGCUGUCCGAGGUAGGUAGUGGUUCCACAGAGCUAUCAGGGGCAUCCAUCUUUAUUCUUAGUGUGUUUUAUGACUAAAAUGGUAUUACCAUCCUAAUCCCUGGUACCUGUGAAUGUGAUGUCACUUGGAAAUAGUCUUUCCAGAUGUAAUCAAGUUAAGAGGCAGUCAUACUGGAAUAGGGUGGACUCUAAAUCCAACAUGACUGGUUCCCGUAUGAGAGGAGAAGAGACACAGAACCAGAGUGAAUGGCAUGUUACAGCAGGGGCAGGAGGGGAGUGAAGCUUCUCCACGCCCAGGAAGGCCAAGGAUUACCAGCAACACCAGAAGCUAGGAAAAAAGGAGUAAGGAUCCUCCCCAGGGGCCUUCAGAGGGAGGAUGCCCCUGCCCACACUUUGAUUUUGAACUUCUAGCCUCCAGCACUGUCAGAGAAUAAAUGUCUGUUGUUUAAGCCACCCAAUUUGUGGUAAUUUGUUACAGCAGCCCUAGGAAACUAACAGUGUGUGACUUUCAUCCUCAGACUUACAGGCAUCUGUGGUCUGGCCAGGAAGGAGGGAGAAGCAGCAGAUAGGUCGUUCCAGUCUAGACUGCACCGUCAAGAAGCUUCCUUGAAAGUCCAAUCAGUGAUAUCAACGAACAUCUCAUAGACCAGGUCUGGGUCAUACAGUCACCCUUCAGCGGCAAGGGAGUCUGGGAAAGUGAAUCUUUUUAGCCUUCAAAUUCUAUGGCUGAGGAAGGCAUUGUAAAUGACUCUGGGUUUGCCAGUCCAUAAAGAGAUAAUCGUAUUAAGCAUGUCAUUGCCCUAUUCAGAGCACACCCCGAUGCCAUGUUCCUCCGAUACAUCUUCAUUUAAACAAAUAAACACUGCAUUCAUAAAAGCAGCCUCUCAUAAAUCGUGUGUGUGUGAGAGAGAGAGAGACAGGUGAGAAAUACCCUAUUUUCUCUCUUAUCUCCUAGGCCAGGGAGGGGUGAGUCCAGUGCAGAAGCCCUGCCUCAUGGAGAGAGCUGCCAGCCCACCACUGCAGCUCACUGGGCCUCUGCCUUGGGACUGCUGUUCACCCUCUGACCAAACUCGAAACAAUUACCGAGCCUCAGACUAGGCUAUUUACAGACCAGAUCAGAAGUACCUGCAACCCCUUCAUGUUUGGUUCCUACAAUUUAAAAUUACACAAGUAAUAAAUAUAUCACCUUAAAAAUCAACAAUUCAAAGAUUCAUAAAGUAAAAAUGAAAAGUCUCCCUAAACCAGAACCCCCAUCACCUGCCCCCAGCCGCAUGUCCUUUAGCAGAUGUAACACUAAUAAGUUUGUUUCUUCCAGUUCGCCUUCAUCCGUGUAUUUACACGCAUACACCCCACGCACACACCCACACACACCAUAUACAUGGUUGUAUAUUUCAUAAACGGGAUCACACCACCACCCAUUUGUCUCAUUUUACAAUAUGCCUUGGUAUUCCUUGUAAGGACUUUCUAUGAUUGAUUUAACCAAUUCUAUGCCGGAUACAGGUUGUAUAGCAAGUGAUAUAGAACACAGACUCAGACCAGACCCCCUGGGCUCACAUCACAUUACAAUUCUGCCUCCUGCUAGCUAUGAGGCCUUGAAUAAACUGCAUCUUCACCACUUUGCCUCGGCUCUUUCAUCUGUAUAAUGGGGAUAAUAAAAGCACUGACAGGGUUAUCAUAGAGAUUGAGCUCAUUUACAUAAAGCAUUUAGACAAGCACUUCUCCAGAGAAGGCCUUCUCUAAGGACUAGCCAU